rnacentral:rRNA from 1 species
UACGUAGGGUGCGAGCGUUAAUCGGAAUUACUGGGCGUAAAGCGUGCGUAGGCGGUUCGUUAAGUUCGUUGUGAAAGCCCCGGGCUCAACCUGGGAAUGGCAAUGGAAACUGGCGGGCUGGAGUAUGGCAGAGGGGGGUGGAAUUCCGCGUGUAGCAGUGAAAUGCGUAGAGAUGCGGAGGAACACCGAUGGCCGAAGGCAGCCCCCUGGGCCAAUACUGACGCUCAGGCGACGAAAGCGUGGGGAGCAAACAGG